rnacentral:rRNA from 1 species
GAACGGAGGUAAGUAAGCUUGCUCUUCCAAAGUUAGUGGCGGACGGGUGAGUAACACGUGGGCAACCUGCCUGUAAGUUGGGGAUAACUCCGGGAAACCGGGGCUAAUACCGAAUGAUAAAGUGUGGCGCAUGCCACGCUUUUGAAAGAUGGUUUCGGCUAUCGCUUACAGAUGGGCCCGCGGUGCAUUAGCUAGUUGGUAGGGUAAUGGCCUACCAAGGCAACGAUGCAUAGCCGACCUGAGAGGGUGAUCGGCCACACUGGGACUGAGACACGGCCCAGACUCCUACGGGAGGCAGCAGUAGGGAAUCUUCCGCAAUGGACGAAAGUCUGACGGAGCAACGCCGCGUGUAUGAAGAAGGUUUUCGGAUCGUAAAGUACUGUUGUUAGAGAAGAACAAGGAUAAGAGUAACUGCUUGUCCCUUGACGGUAUCUAACCAGAAAGCCACGGCUAACUACGUGCCAGCAGCCGCGGUAAUACGUAGGUGGCAAGCGUUGUCCGGAUUUAUUGGGCGUAAAGCGCGCGCAGGCGGUCUUUUAAGUCUGAUGUGAAAGCCCCCGGCUUAACCGGGGAGGGUCAUUGGAAACUGGAAGACUGGAGUGCAGAAGAGGAGAGUGGAAUUCCACGUGUAGCGGUGAAAUGCGUAGAUAUGUGGAGGAACACCAGUGGCGAAGGCGACUCUCUGGUCUGUAACUGACGCUGAGGCGCGAAAGCGUCGGGAGCAAACAGGAUUAGAUACCCUGGUAGUCCACGCCGUAAACGAUGAGUGCUAAGUGUUAGGGGGUUUCCGCCCCUUAGUGCUGCAGCUAACGCAUUAAGCACUCCGCCUGGGGAGUACGACCGCAAGGUUGAAACUCAAAGGAAUUGACGGGGGCCCGCACAAGCGGUGGAGCAUGUGGUUUAAUUCGAAGCAACGCGAAGAACCUUACCAGGUCUUGACAUCCUUUGACCACUCUGGAGACAGAGCUUUCCCUUCGGGGACAAAGUGACAGGUGGUGCAUGGUUGUCGUCAGCUCGUGUCGUGAGAUGUUGGGUUAAGUCCCGCAACGAGCGCAACCCUUGAUUUUAGUUGCCAGCAUUUAGUUGGGCACUCUAAAGUGACUGCCGGUGCAAGCCGGAGGAAGGUGGGGAUGACGUCAAAUCAUCAUGCCCCUUAUGACCUGGGCUACACACGUGCUACAAUGGAUAGUACAAAGGGUCGCGAAGCCGCGAGGUGGAGCUAAUCCCAUAAAACUAUUCUCAGUUCGGAUUGUAGGCUGCAACUCGCUUACAGGAAGCCGG